rnacentral:rRNA from 1 species
GACGAACGCUGGCGGCGUGCCUAAUACAUGCAAGUCGAGCGAACUUGCGGGAGCUUGCUCCCAAAAGUUAGCGGCGGACGGGUGAGUAACACGUGGGCAACCUGCCUAUAAGACUGGGAUAACUUCGGGAAACCGGAGCUAAUACCGGAUAAUUCAUAUCUACACAUGUAGAUAUGCUGAAAGACGGUUUCGGCUGUCACUUAUAGAUGGGCCCGCGGCGCAUUAGCUAGGUGGUGAGGUAACGGCUCACCAAGGCGACGAUGCGUAGCCGACCUGAGAGGGUGAUCGGCCACACUGGGACUGAGACACGGCCCAGACUCCUACGGGAGGCAGCAGUAGGGAAUCUUCCGCAAUGGACGAAAGUCUGACGGAGCAACGCCGCGUGAGUGAUGAAGGUUUUCGGAUCGUAAAACUCUGUUGUUAGGGAAGAACAAGUACUAGAGUAACUGCUAGUACCUUGACGGUACCUAACCAGAAAGCCACGGCUAACUACGUGCCAGCCGCCGCAGUAAUAC